rnacentral:rRNA from 1 species
GAUGAACGCUGGCGGCGUGCCUAAUACAUGCAAGUCGAGCGAACAGACGAGGAGCUUGCUCCUCUGACGUUAGCGGCGGACGGGUGAGUAACACGUGGAUAACCUACCUAUAAGACUGGGAUAACUUCGGGAAACCGGAGCUAAUACCGGAUAAUAUAUUGAACCGCAUGGUUCAAUAGUGAAAGACGGUUUUGCUGUCACUUAUAGAUGGAUCCGCGCCGCAUUAGCUAGUUGGUAAGGUAACGGCUUACCAAGGCAACGAUGCGUAGCCGACCUGAGAGGGUGAUCGGCCACACUGGAACUGAGACACGGUCCAGACGCCUACGGGAGGCAGCAGUAGGGAAUCUUCCGCAAAGGGCGAAAGCUUGACGGAGCAACGCCGCGUGAGUGAUGAAGGUCUUCGGAUCGUAAAACUCUGUUAUUAGGGAAGAACAAAUGUGUAAGUAACUAUGCACGUCUUGACGGUACCUAAUCAGAAAGCCACGGCUAACUACGUG